AGAGUGCGUAAUAGCUCACUGGUCUAGCGCUCCUGCGCCGAAAAUGAACGGGGCUAAGCAGUCUACCGAAGCUGUGGAAUAAAUGAUUUUUAAUCAUGUAUUGGUAGGGGAGCGUUCCGCAACGGUGUGAAGCACUAGCGACAAGCAGGUGUGGACUGUGCGGAAGUGAGAAUGUCGGCUUGAGUAGCGCAAAUGUGGGUGAGAAUCCCACACCCCGAAACCCUAAGGGUUCCUCCGCCAGGCUCGUCCGCGGAGGGUGAGUCAGGUCCUAAG
rnacentral:rRNA from 1 species